UUAGGAUGUAAACAAAACUGGUCACUAC
rnacentral:sRNA from 1 species